rnacentral:rRNA from 1 species
ACACGGCCCAGACUCCUACGGGAGGCAGCAGUAGGGAAUCUUCGGCAAUGGGGGGAACCCUGACCGAGCAACGCCGCGUGAGUGAAGAAGGUUUUCGGAUCGUAAAGCUCUGUUGUUAAGGAAGAACGAGUGUGAGAAUGGAAAGUUCAUACUGUGACGGUACUUAACCAGAAAGGGACGGCUAACUACGUGCCAGCAGCCGCGGUAAUACGUAGGUCCCGAGCGUUGUCCGGAUUUAUUGGGCGUAAAGCGAGCGCAGGCGGUUAGAUAAGUCUGAAGUUAAAGGCAGUGGCUCAACCAUUGUAGGCUUUGGAAACUGUUUAACUUGAGUGCAGAAGGGGAGAGUGGAAUUCCAUGUGUAGCGGUGAAAUGCGUAGAUAUAUGGAGGAACACCGGUGGCGAAAGCGGCUCUCUGGUCUGUAACUGACGCUGAGGCUCGAAAGCGUGGGGAGCGAACAGGAUUAGAUACCCUGGUAGUCCACGCCGUAAACGAUGAGUGCUAGGUGUUAGGUCCUUUCCGGGACUUAGUGCCGCAGCUAACGCAUUAAGCACUCCGCCUGGGGAGUACGACCGCAAGGUGAAACUCAAAGGAAUUGACGGG